AAAAUGACUUUUUCUAGAUUCUAAUCAGUGUUAAUUCACUUUGGAGGGAAGGCAGUUUUCCCCCCUCUAGAAAGCUCUGGGUUUCUUUCCCACUCAUGUCCGCCAAAAACAUCAAACAAAGACGACAAAGAAUAAAUCAGGCUAUCCAGCGCGGGGUGUUCUCUUGGGAAGCCUUAUUGUUUUCUGUCCUUAGUUCCUUUUCUGACCCCUGCCAGCCCUUCAGGCCUGGGCUUCCCUGCGAAGUCCUAAGAGGUGGGGGGAACUGAAAAGCCGCGGAACCAGACGCACAAGGAGCGCCGCGGACGGGGGUUGGAGAAGCGAAGGGACCGGCAGGCCUAGCUCCGAGGCUCCGGUGGCGGCGGCGGGUAUGGAGACCCUGCGGGUCCUCGAGCUGUACAGCGGCAUUGGCGGCAUGCACCACGCGCUGAGAGAAAGCUCUGUACCUGGACAAGUGGUGGCUGCCAUUGAUGUAAACACUGUUGCUAAUGAAGUAUACAAGCAUAAUUUUCCUCACACACAGUUACUGGCCAAGACAAUUGAAGGCAUUACACUGGAAGAGUUUGACAAAUUAUCUUUCAAUAUGAUUUUAAUGAGCCCUCCAUGUCAGCCAUUUACAAGAAUUGGCCUACAGGGUGAUAUGACUGAUCGAAGAACAAAUAGCUUCUUACAUAUUCUAGAUAUUCUCCCAAGAUUACAAAAAUUACCGAAGUAUAUUCUUUUAGAAAAUGUUAAAGGUUUUGAAGUAUCUUCUACAAGAGACCUAUUGAUAGAAACAAUAGAAAAUUGUGGCUUUCAGUACCAAGAGUUUCUAUUAUCUCCACCCUCUCUCGGCAUUCCCAAUUCAAGGCUCCGGUAUUUCCUUAUUGCAAAGCUUCAGUCAGAGCCAUUACCUUUCCAAGCUCCGGGCCAGGUACUGAUGGAUUUUCCCAAAAUUGAAUCUGAACAUCCACAAAAACAUGCAGUAGAUGUAGAAAAUAGAAGUAACAUAAAGAAAAUUGAACCUAUUACUCACUUUGAUAAAAGUCCACAGUGUUCUGGAAAAGAUACCAUUCUUUUUAAGCUUGAAACUGCAGAAGAAAUCGACAGAAAGCAUCAACAAGACAGUGAUGUCUCUGUGCAGAUGCUGAAAGAUUUUCUUGAAGAUGACAUUGAGACGGAUCAAUACUUUUUACCGCCGAAAUCAUUGCUGCGAUAUGCUCUUUUAUUAGAUAUCGUUAAGCCCACCUGCAGAAGGUCUGUGUGCUUUACCAAAGGUAUAUUUCAGAAGGAUGCAUCCGACUACCAAGAUGAAGUCACUGAAGAAAUAAGUAUGCAGUUUAGCACUGACAGCUCCUUUAGGUACUGCCUGAUUCUCAUGUUGAUUUUUCAGUUAUGGAAGUUACAUAGAAGGCACCGGAUCUGUGUUACAGACUGCAGAGGAUGUACAGGUACCAUAUUGAGACUGUCUACAAAUCCCUUAACAAUUUGCCACAAGAAGAACAGAUAACAAAGUUGUCAGUGCUUAAACUUCGAUAUUUCACUCCUAAAGAAAUAGCAAAUCUUCUUGGAUUUCCUCCAGAGUUUGGAUUUCCUAAGAAGAUAACCAUGAAGCAGUGUUACCGUCUACUUGGAAAUAGUCUCAAUGUGCAUGUAGUAGCUAAACUAAUCAAAAUCCUAUAUGAAUAAGUUUGAAAUAACUCUGAAAGAUGUUUGUGGUAUUCCUUCAUGUCCAGAUAGUAAUUCUGAAAUUCUAUUUUGAAUUAACUCUGAUGAAAUCCAUCUAAAGUAUUUUAGUCUUUCUUUAAUAGGAAAUUUAGAUAGUAUCACAAAAUUGUAAAUUUGUUUUCUUAAAUUUAUAUUCCUGUAUUUUUAUAAAGUGAAAGUUACUAUUUUUGUCUUACAGAGAAUGUAUUUUUAUAUGAAACAAGUAUGCAUGGAAUAUUAUCUUUAUAUGUAAUGUGGUAUAAACAAAUUUGGGAACAUUCAAAUAUUAAUGUCUAUGUGAAUAUUUUAAAAAGUAUCAUAUAAGCUGUAGCAGUGAACCUUCAAAAUACAAAGUUAUUUCAUAUGUUAAUUUCAGAAGUUGUCUUACGAAUCUUACAAUUUUACUUUUUUGUUACAUAAUCACUCUUAAAAUGCUUGUUUUUAUUCCAGCCUGUUUCAAAUACUGUUUUACUUAGUCCUUUGAGUGUUAUUUAAUCUGAAGAAAUACCUGUAACAUUUUAAACCAACUGUCAUCGUUUAACAUGCAGCAGUAUAAAGAAUAUAUGAGAAAAAUAGUCCUAAAUUCUUCAUUAUCUCUCCAUCAGGAGCCCCAGAAAAUGCAGGUGUGCGCUCUCUGCUUAUCUUUCCUUCAGUCUCCAUUUGAAGGUCCAAGCUGACUGUCUCUUCUUCCCCUGUGCCUACUUUGCCAUGAUCAGAACUUGGUUUUACUUUCUUUCUCCAAUUUUGGAUUACAUUUUCCAUCACAUUCUAAGGAAUUUAGUUAGAUUUUAGGGAGGAAAUUGUCUUCUGACCCCAUUCUAUAUGCCAAUUCUUACCCCCUCUCUAAUUUGUUUUAUUGUAGUAACAUAUUCUGAGAACUUUUAUAAUGUCUAACUUUCUUCAUCUCUCCUUGUCAGAACACUUUUUCCUUUCUGGUGUUUUGAAGUAGGGUCUCUGUAUCUCAGGUUGGCCUUGAAUUCACUGUAGUGAACUUGCAGUGAUCCACCUGCCGCAGUCCCUAGAGAGCUAAGAUUACAGGCAUGUACACCACACCUGCAUGAGAAGACAUUUUGGAAUGAAAGUCUGAUUAGACUGAGUCUUGUGUCAUCGAUCCUAUGGUUUUGAUUUCAGUGAAAAGAGGAAGUGUCAAGAUAAAUGAGAAGACGCAAGAGCAGAAAUUAUAGCACAAUAUUUUCCUUCAUACUUUGUACUUAAAAAACAAUCAUUCCUGUGUGGAGAAACUGGAAUCUUCUGUGUUGCUGGCGGGAACAUAAAAUGGCAUAGCUGCUGUAUACAACAGCUGGAGCUUCCUCCAAAAGUAAAUGUAGAAUUAUAUGAUCCAGCAGUUCUACUUCCAGGUAUAUACCCCAAAGAACUGAAAGCAAGAACUGGGACAGAAAUGGGUACAUGAGUGUUUGUAACAGCAUCAUUCACAGUAGCCAAGAGGUAGAAGCAAGCCAGUGUCCCUCCCUUCAACAGGUGAAAAAACCUGUGGUGCAAACAUGCAAUAGAAUAGUAUUUGGCAUUAAAAAGAAGUGAGAUUAUAGCACAGGCCCUGUCCUGGGUGAUCACUGGUACAUUAUGCUAAAUGAAUAAAAAUACAAAUAUUGUAUAUGUAAUUCCAUUUAUAGGAGGUACGUAGGAGACUCAAGUUCAUAGAGACUAUAGGAUUAUGUUCGCCGGGGAUUGGGAGGAAGGUGAAUUUGGAGUUAGUGUACAUUAGUACAGAGUUUCUAUUUGAGGUGAUGAAAAGGUGGAGAUGGAUGGUAGUGAUGGUUGAACAACAGUGUGGAUGUACUUAAUGCACCCGAAAAUACCUGAAAUGGAAAAGUUUACAUUAUGCAUAUUUUGCUUCGAUUUAAAGAAAUCAUAUUGUACUGUAAUUUUUUCAGAACUCCUAGGUAAACAUGGACAUAGGGGAGCUGUAGGCCAGUACAGAUGCAUCAGCUGUCAUUGCCUGCGUUUUGUGUAUAUGUCCAAAGAUAAACCUUAUUACAAGCCUCACAAAUGUUACUAUACAACCUGAAAGCAUUUAGUACACUUCCACGUUGGUACUCUUCACUGCUGAAAGUUUAUCAAUAAAGUGGCUUAUAGUUUAACUAUAAUUAACUGAUAAUAAUUAUGCUGUAAGUACAGUGUCUGAUAUCCUACUGAGCAAUAUUAGAUAAAAUAUUCAGAUACAGUGUACAACCACAAGCACUUGAAAGGUCUAUGAAGACAUUUGCUUUCACAUUGAAAGUCUAGCUUUGUGCAAUUUUAAAAUCGUUCAUGUGUUUCUUCACAGAAAGGUGCUGAUUCUUGCCCUUAACUGAUUGUUGAAAAUAUACCAUAGCAAACAUAAUGCACAGCUUAAUAAAAAUAUGGUUACCAGUGUUGUUUAAUUACCAGAUGUAUAUAUAAAUGCAUAAUUUGAAAGAUGUCACUUUAUUGAAUGCUACAUGCUAUUGGCAAUGAAUAUACAUAAAAUUUGCACUGGAAAUUCUGUUUUCUGGUAUUUGUACUUACACAUUAUUCAACAUGUUGGAAAAUACAGCCUCUGUUUUUGAAGAGAACUAUGUGUAAUUAAAUCUUUGCCACUCUUAAUAGUA